rnacentral:piRNA from 1 species
UACGGAUGCUGGACUCUAGAACUUUGGC